rnacentral:rRNA from 1 species
GAUGAACGCUGACAGAAUGCUUAACACAUGCAAGUCAACUUGAACUUCGGUUUGGGUGGCGGACGGGUGAGUAACGCGUAAAGAACUUGCCUCACAGAUAGGGACAACAUUUGGAAACGAAUGCUAAUACCUGAUAUUAUGAUUAUAUGGCAUCGUAUAAUUAUGAAAGCUAUAUGUGCUGUGAGAGAGCUUUGCGUCCCAUUAGCUAGUUGGAGAGGUAACGGCUCACCAAGGCGAUGAUGGGUAGCCGGCCUGAGAGGGUGAUCGGCCACAAGGGGACUGAGACACGGCCCUUACUCCUACGGGAGGCAGCAGUGGGGAAUAUUGGACAAUGGACCAAGAGUCUGAUCCAGCAAUUCUGUGUGCACGAUGAAGUUUUUCGGAAUGUAAAGUGCUUUCAGUUGGGAAGAAAAAAUGACGGUACCAACAGAAGAAGUGACGGCUAAAUACGUG